AUUUGAAGUCAGUUGGUGUGAAGUGUUUGCCCUUAUACAGUUAUGGGAUGCUCACAGCUACUCUGUGCUUCUGAUAGGCUUUCUCCAGUCCUCUCUCCUGAGCCUUACACAUAUUCCUGAUUACAUUCUUUCUACAGAUGUACUGAUGUAGCUGCGCAAGUCACUGCAAUAUGCUAAGACAAAGUCUUGCUGUGUAGUCCAGGCUGGUAUUGAGCUGAACCUUUUGGCUUGUCAAAUUAAUCAAAAGGAAGGACCACGCAUGCUGCAGGGGAUGGAAAGGGACUGGAAAAUCAUAAACUGGGCUUUGGGCUCUCACUACACAGGCAAAGGUAAUCUUGGUAUGUCUUCAGGAUCUCUUGCAAAAAAGAAAAAAAUUCUGAGGACCAUUUGUCUGUUUAGAGCUGUCCUGUCUGAUACAGUAGUUCCUAGCUAUAUGUGGCUACUGAGCACUUCAAAUGAGACUGACUAAGAUUGAGAUUUUCUAUAAGUUUAAAACACAUUGUUGGGAGGCUGAAGCAGGAGGAUUGGUGAGUUCAAGGUCAGCCUAGGGUACCUAGUGAGUUCAAGGCCAGUCUGAACUACAUAGCAAGACCCUGUCUCAAAAAACCAAAAAGAAAAAACACACACACACACGUUGGAUUUCCAAGACUUAGUACAAACAAAAAAUGAGAUGUAUCCGAGAGCUUGUUUGGAGGUUCUAGCAGGGGAGCGCAGCUACUCAUAUACCCUUGAGGGAGGAAAUGGUGCUGCUCCAUCCAGCAUGGUCAGGCUCUUUGACCAGGUGCACAGCUUCGGGAGGGACGCACAUGGAGCAGUGAGGGAAAAAGGGGACACCCGCCUAGCCAGCCAGAUCACUCUCACAUCCAUGAGAUGCAUCUCAAUAAUUCCUAUACUAAAUACAUGUUAGAUUAAACAAAUUAUUGUAUUUAUUUCUUUCUUAUAUUUUUUAAUGUGGCCAUUAGAUUUCAUGUUGCCUUUGUGGACUGGAUCAUAUUUUUAUUAGAACCUGACUUGUACCGAAAAAAGACUUGUCCUACAGCUGUAUUAUCAUUGAAAUAUUGUUUCAAAAUGUUCAUAGGAUGUCAGAGAAAGUUAUCUCUAAGGAUUUCUGUGAUGGUUUGGAUGAUUUUAUCUUCCAAGGGGCCAUGUGUUUGAAGGUGGGUGACAGUGUUGGGGGAUGAUACGAAACCUUUAAGAGUGGGAAGUCCACUAGGUCAUUGGCACUGUGUCUCCAGAAAGAAUUAAAGUAGUUGUCCUGUGACCCUGAGUUCUCACAAAAGGGUGGCUAUACAGGAACACACCUGCCACUCCCCAGCCUUUCUGACUUCCUGUCAGCCAGUGUGAUCUCUCUCUCUCUCUCUCUCUCUCUCCCUCCCUCGUGCAUGCUUCUGCCACUACGAUACCAUCCACCAUGAUUGCCAGAGCUGAGCUUAUAAUGAUGCCAUGCCCUUGAAUCUCCACAUGUGUAAACUAAGUGAGCCUCUCUUUGAGUUACCCAGCCUCAAAUGUAUAGCAAUGGAAAAUGGAUUUAUACAGUUUGCUGAAAGAAGAGUGUGGCAAAUCUGGUUCAAAUACAUUACUGCGGGUCCUUUCCAAAGUCUUUUUCCCAACAUCUAUGAAAUAUGAAUAUUGACUGUCUCCUGGGUGACUUGUGUGGAGAGAGUCUCUUUCAGCCAUACCUCUGAGACCUACGGCCAUUGCUAACCCUAGACUGAUGAAGUGAUUUACUACCAUUACCCUUAGAAAGCACCUCUUGUUUUUUCACAUCCACAACAGGAAAUACUUCUGGGUUGGUCUCAUUUAUAACAGCUGGUCAGCAUAAUGUUCUCGAAGAAGCUCGUGUUUCUCAAAGAUUACUGAAACUGUGUCAUUCUCUCAUAACUGAAUAAGUUUUUUGACUCUGCCAAGAGUAUUGAAUUGAUUAAAGUGAUUAGGUGCUUUCUCAUUAUCAUCUAUCUUUAGCUUUCUUUUAGCAGUGAUUGAUCUACACUUUGCAAUUGAAAGUUCAAUGUUUUCUGUGUAGAAG
rnacentral:lncRNA from 1 species